rnacentral:rRNA from 1 species
CUUAAAGGAAUUGACGGGGCCCGCACAAGCGGUGGAGUAUGUGGUUUAAUUCGAUGCAACGCGAAGAACCUUACCUGGUCUUGACAUCCCGGAGACCCUUAGGAAACUAGGGGGUGCUUCCAUCUGGAAGAAUCUGGAGACAGGUGCUGCAUGGCUGUCGUCAGCUCGUGUCGUGAGAUGUUGGGUUAAGUCCCGCAACGAGCGCAACCCUUGCCUUUAGUUGCCAGCAGUUCGGCUGGGCACUCUAAAGGGACUGCCGGUGUUAAACCGGAGGAAGGUGGGGAUGACGUCAAGUCCUCAUGGCCUUUAUGACCGGGGCUACACACGUACUACAAUGGCCGAUACAAAGGGCAGCGACACUGCGAGGUGAAGCCAAUCCCGUAAAAUCGGUCUCAGUCCGGAUUGGAGUCUGCAACUCGACUCCAUGAAGUUGGAAUCGCUAGUAAUCGUGGAUCAGCAUGCCACGGUGAAUACGUCCGGCUU